rnacentral:rRNA from 1 species
UACGUAGGGGGCAAGCGUUGUCCGGAUUUAUUGGGCGUAAAGCGCUCGCAGGUGGUUCGUCGCGUCGUGCGUGAAAGACCCCGGCUCAACUGGGGGAGGUCGUGCGAUACGGGCGAACUGGAGGCCAGUAGGGGGAUGCGGAAUUCCGGGUGUAGUGGUGGAAUGCGUAGAGAUCCGGAGGAACACCAGCGGCGAAGGCGGCAUCCUGGACUGGUCCUGACACUCAUGAGCGAAAGCGUGGGGAGCGAGUCCGG